rnacentral:misc_RNA from 1 species
CUGGUGGCUUCGCCUAAACUCCCUAACCAUUGUGAACUACUAUCAGUUGCUUAGGCGGGGGGCCUAGCGGCUGGCAAACCUGGGGGCAGUACCGCCGGCGGCCAAACUCUAGCAUAAUUGGCAUCUCUGAGUUAGCUUAUAAAUAAGUCA